UACGAGGGGGGGCGAGCGUUGUUCGGAAUUAUUGGGCGUAAAGGGUGCGUAGGCGGUUUGGUAAGUCUUGUGUGAAAUCUACAGGCUCAACUUGUAGUCUGCACGAGAAACUGCCGGGCUUGAGUAUGGGAGAGGUGAGUGGAAUUCCUGGUGUAGCGGUGAAAUGCGUAGAUAUCAGGAGGAACACCUGUGGCGAAAGCGGCUCACUGGACCAUAACUGACGCUGAUGCACGAAAAGCUAGGGGGAGCAAACAGGG
rnacentral:rRNA from 1 species